rnacentral:rRNA from 1 species
AUUGAACGCUGGCGGCAUGCCUUACACAUGCAAGUCGAACGGCAGCACGGGAGCAAUCCUGGUGGCGAGUGGCGAACGGGUGAGUAAUAUAUCGGAACGUGCCCAGUCGUGGGGGAUAACGUAGCGAAAGCUACGCUAAUACCGCAUACGAUCUAUGGAUGAAAGCGGGGGAUCGCAAGACCUCGCGUCGAUUGGAGCGGCCGAUAUCAGAUUAGGUAGUUGGUGAGGUAAAGGCUCACCAAGCCGACGAUCUGUAGCUGGUCUGAGAGGACGACCAGCCACACUGGGACUGAGACACGGCCCAGACUCCUACGGGAGGCAGCAGUGGGGAAUUUUGGACAAUGGGCGCAAGCCUGAUCCAGCAAUGCCGCGUGCAGGAUGAAGGCCUUCGGGUUGUAAACUGCUUUUGUACGGAACGAAACGGUGAGCUCUAAUACAGUUUGCUAAUGACGGUACCGUAAGAAUAAGCACCGGCUAACUACGUG